AAAUGUCCUCAGACUGGUGUGAGCACUGAGGAUGGAGAGACACAGCAGAUCCUGGAAAUGGUGUAGAGCCAUGGAUGAUCAUGGAUUUGAUACUUUGCUUUCAGACACCGGUUCACGAGUGACGUUCCCCAUAUGCGGGACGAUCCCCAUGGAGUAACCUGGAGUAAAGUGUCUUGCUCAAGGACACACUGGUGGAGACGCUGCGGAGAUCAAACCAGCAACCUUCUGUUUACUAAUUCAGUGGUUCAGCCCACUACACCACAAAAUCUUGCUCAUGGAGAGCACAUGAAUGUUUGGAGCAGACACAGCAGCAGCCAGAUUGUCCCGCACAUCUUCUCCCACUCUUGCUUCAAGGUUGUGGGGUUCAGGGGUCCAUCAUCAUCAUCUUCCUCAUCCUCUGGAUCAACAAUGUCCCCACUGAGAAGAGCAGCAGCGAGGGACAUGAUGGAUGGCAAAGACAGGUGAAGGUGUUCACGGUGGUCAGCUGCAGAAUGGGCACAGCUGUGUUGAGAUGGCAGUAGGAUGUAGGGUUCACCACCUGUAAAUACAUGAUUGUUAGAAAAAUAUGUUUGAAUAAAGCUCUGUUUCAUGUGUUGUUGACUUGUAUAUGUGUUUAUUUAUUGUGACUGUUGCUUUUAUUAAUUCUUUUAC